GAUGAACGCUGGCGGCGUGCCUAAUACAUGCAAGUCGAGCGAAUGGAUUAAGAGCUUGCUCUUAUGAAGUUAGCGGCGGACGGGUGAGUAACACGUGGGUAACCUGCCCAUAAGACUGGGAUAACUCCGGGAAACCGGGGCUAAUACCGGAUAACAUUUUGAACCGCAUGGUUCGAAAUUGAAAGGCGGCUUCGGCUGUCACUUAUGGAUGGACCCGCGUCGCAUUAGCUAGUUGGUGAGGUAACGGCCCACCAAGGCAACGAUGCGUAGCCGACCUGCGAGGUUGAUCGGCCGCACGGGGAAUGGGACACGGCCCAGACUCCUACGGGAGGCAGCAGUAGGGAAUCUUCCGAAAUGGACGAAAGUCUGACGGAGCAACGCCGCGUGAGUGAUGAAGGCUUUCGGGUCGUAAAACUCUGUUGUUAGGGAAGAACAAGUGCUAGUUGAAUAAGCUGGCACCUUGACGGUACCUAACCAGAAAGCCACGGCUAACUACGUGCCAGCCGCCGCAGUAA
rnacentral:rRNA from 1 species